rnacentral:rRNA from 1 species
GACGAACGCUGGCGGCGUGCUUAACACAUGCAAGUCGAACGGAAAGUCCCUGCUUUUGUGGGGUGCUCUAGUUGCGAACGGGUGAGUAACACGUGAGUAACCUGCCCUUGACUUUGGGAUAACUUCAGGCAACUGGGGCUAAUACCGGAUAGGAGCUCCUGCUGCAUGGUGGGGGUUGGAUAGUUUCGGCGGUUGGGGAUGGACUCGCGGCUUAUCAGCUUGUUGGUGGGGUAGUGGCUUACCAAGGCUUUGACGGGUAGCCGGCCUGAGCGGGUGACCGGCCACAUUGGGACUGAGAUACGGCCCAGACUCCUACGGGAGGCAGCAGAGGGGAAUAUUGCACAAUGGGCGGAAGCAUGAUGCAGCAAAGCAGCGUGCGGGAUGACGGCAUUCGGGUUGUAAACCGCUUUCGCCUGUGACGAAGUGUGAGUGACGGUACUGGGUAAAGAAGCACCGGCUAACUACGUG